rnacentral:tRNA from 1 species
GUGGUUGAGGCUUAGUGGUAGAGUGCUCACCUAGCAUGUAUGAGGCUCUGGGUUCAACCCUCAGCACCACA